rnacentral:rRNA from 1 species
AGCGAACGCUGGCGGCAGGCCUAACACAUGCAAGUCGAACGAAGUCUUCGGACUUAGUGGCGGACGGGUGAGUAACACGUGGGAACGUGCCUUUAGGUUCGGAAUAACUCAGGGAAACUUGUGCUAAUACCGAAUGUGCCCUUCGGGGGAAAGAUUUAUCGCCCUUAGAGCGGCCCGCGUCUGAUUAGCUAGUUGGUGAGGUAAAGGCUCACCAAGGCGGCGAUCAGUAGCUGGUCUGAGAGGAUGAUCAGCCACACUGGGACUGAGACACGGCCCAGACUCCUACGGGAGGCAGCAGUGGGGAAUCUUGCGCAAUGGGCGAAAGCCUGACGCAGCCACGCCGCGUGGAUGAUGAAGGUCUUAGGAUUGUAAAAUCCUUUCACCGGUGAAGAUAAUGACUGUAGCCGGAGAAGAAGCCCCGGCUAACUUCGUGCCAGCCGCCGCAGUAAUAC